UUUCCGUAGGUGAACCUGCGGAAGGAUCAUUCAUAAUAAAGUGUUUUAUGGCAUUUUUUAAAAAUCCAUAUCCACCUUGUGUGCAAUGUUAGAUCUCGUCAAUCUUGGCGAGAUUUUUAUACAUCAACUCAUUCUUUAACUAAUUUGUCUGAAAAAUAUUAUGAAUACUUAAUUCAAAAUACAACUUUCAACAACGGAUCUCUUGGCUCUCACAUCGAUGAAGAACGCAGC
rnacentral:misc_RNA from 1 species